UUUGGCAGAGGAAUAUUCUCCUUCAUUUCAGUGUGGAAGGUGGCAUUAGGUUACUUUAGACACUAAUGUGUUGUGGAUAUUGUGAUAAGCUCCACACAAGGUCCUACUGAUGAUCCCCCACUGGUGGCAAGAGCAGUGCUGUGGCCCCAGUCCUGCCCCUUGAACUCUAGUGCAGCUUCUUGGCAGGACAAGACCUUUGCAUGUCCGGGGAGAUCAUGGUAUAGGAAAAAUGUGGUGCUCUGCUGUAAAUGCAUGAGAGAUGGGCUUUGGUGUGUCAGAGGGGUGGCCAAGGCCUACUGGUGUAAUUGUCCCAGGUAAUGGCAUUGGAGGGAGCACAACGUUUUCGCCUAUAUCCACAGCUCAAUCAGACUCUGGAAAACUCAAUUAACCAGAAGAGCUUUUCAUCCAGUAGGGCAGGGCAAGAGUCUGCUGAGUUAUCCAGCAAAAACUUGGACAGUUUUGGCCUCAGUUGUCAUGAUUUCUGCUUCUGGCCAUUUUGUAGCUAAACAGUGGAGAAUAUAGAGCUCAAGAACUAUUAAAAAAGAACAACGCAGGCAUGAUACAGACAUGGCUACAGUGAUGGGGAGAAAUCUGAGUGAAACACAUAUUAUGUGAACAAAUUAUAUCAUUUUUUACUCAAAGCAGCUGUGCAGUGCCCUGUGCUUGCUGAUGCUGAAGCAUCAGAAGGGGGGAAAAGCACUGUCAAGGCUGAAAGACUGCUGUGUGGUUUUCUAGGCAUUUCACUGCAGAUUUAUAGUCGGUAAACUUGGCUUCUGAAUUAUAGGGAUGUAUUCAAUUUUUUUUUCUGGCUUCAGUAUGUUGCUUAUUUUCUGUGUACAAUUUUUUUUCUUCAGAAAAAUUUCCAGUUCCUAGUGAAUGGAUUGUAGAUUUAAGUCCUAUUUUUUUGCCCUGAUGAAAGCAAUAUGCUGGUCUUUGACUAGUUUGCAAGAGCAAAUCUAGCUUUCAACACAUGUGCUACUUGGUAUGUACUGAAACUAUCAAAGUGAUUAUGUAGUCACAGCCUCAUAGAGUAUAACCAAAUAUACUCAAAGCUCAAUGAGAGGCAUUUGUCAUUCUGAAUCAGGUAAGAACAGACUGUACUGGCACUGAAGAGCUAUCAGGUAUCUUGUCAAGAGACUGGCAAUUUGUACAAUGCUUGGAGAAUACCCCACUUCACACAUUCUUUGUUUAGAAUGAUGGUCUGAAUUUAUUUGAUGGAAAAUAUUAAGAAACUUAGGAGCUAUACCUUGAAACUGCAAGUAGUAUUGAAUGAAAGUAAUGCAGACAGUUAUACAGAGGUCUCUACCAUCUAAAAUAUUUAAAUUCACUAUUAUAAGAACAGUUACAGUCAUGGCAACUUUAUUCUACUUUCAGUGUUUGAUUUAACGGAUAUAAAAUUAUUAAUGUUUUAGCUGAGAGGUAGUUUUCAGCACUGAAAAGUAGUAUUUGCAUGUCAAAUCUAAAAUAUUUUGGGACAAAAAAUCUUUUAUCUAAUAGAUUUUGAUCUCACUGUAAUGUGUUGGCUCUGCUAUACAGUUAGUUUUACAAAAAAGUAUAACGCUGAUGGAAUCAAAAGCCUUUCUCUUACGUGAACUUUCCUGAAUAUACUUAAUAAAAUAAACUUUUACUUAAUUACAAUAACAAUUAUUCCUCAUGCCAUAAUUAGUAUUAUUUCAUAAACUGGUAUUAGGCCAACUUUUAUACAUAAACCACAGAAACUUCUUCAUAAACAGGUUAUGUAUUUAAAAUAUGAGUUUUGAGAUUGAAGUAUCUUUGUUGUUAAAAGAAGAAUUCUAUGCAAAACUAAAUUCUUACUCAGUUAUAAUAGGUGUGAAUCUUUGGAUUAGCCAUCAUAAAAUACUUACUGGAAUACUAGAGUAGAAAUAAUACUGUUAAAUAUGUAUGAUGUUACUUUCUCUUGCCAUACAUUCUGGAUAUGUAUGUAUGUGGCCUAAAAUAGUGUGUGACGGAUCAUACCUUCCCAAGAAAAUUCAUAGAUUCUGAUUUUGAUGACACUGUGGAAGACCGUAAGAUAUACGAUGUAUGGUUAUGUCAUGUUUUUGGUAGAGCUUUGCUAGUCCUGUUUCUCUCAUCUUCUGUUAACUUAAUUUCCAAAUUUAUUUGUGGGCGUUUGUGUGCUGUUUAGUUUCUGUUUAUAAGCCUGUAUGGGAUGGGCAAGGAAGGAGAGGUGCUGGAGUGGGUCCAGAGAAGCUUCUGAAAGGUCCAGAGAAAAAGUCUCAUGGGGAGUGGCUGAGGGAAUGGGGGUGAUUUAGCCUUGAGAAAAGGAGGCUUGGGGGAGCCCUAUCACUCUCUACAACUAUCUUAAAGGAGGAUGGAGCAAGAAGGUUGCAGAUGAAGAAGAAUCCUCACUUCAGUUGAACCCUGUAGUUGAGAGAACAGUCAGUAACAGAGGCUUUGGAAACCAGGAAUUGUUGAUUCCUCCCUCGGAGGGCAUUUUGCCAGAGAAUUCUGCUUGAGACGCGUGGAAAUUCUUGAACUAAAUAUAUGUGUGCAUGGGACUGGAAAAAUAUAUACGAAGCAUGUGUUUCUAUAGGAAUCCUAUUCAGCUAAAGCAUAACAAGAUUUGAAAACACUUUUUCUUGGUAACUCAGAUUGGAAAUGACCAUAAGCGUGAUGGUCUAUCAGGUUGCACAUUUUUACCAGGUUUUUAGCAAUCGAUAUUUGCUAAUCGAUAUUUGGCAGAGAAAGGAAAGAGACCAUGAAGAGGAAAGACACAUUCUUAAGUGCUUAAGUAAGAGUGUGCUUGUGUUUUUCCACUUGAACUUCAAGCGUGAUCUUUCUGACGGCAUACUGUACGUCUGAAGUAGAAAAUGAAAAAGUGCACCUGAUAAAAUAAGGAACGGGCAUUAAAAAAAGUGUGAAGUUUCACAUUCAAGUUUCCUUAUUUUAGAGCAAAUGAUUUCGGUAUCGAUUCUCCAGUCUCACAGAGUUGUCCCCUAAUAAAAUCUGUCAGAACAGCUGCAGACAGUGUGAGCUUUUAACAAUGAAUAAAUAGCACUUAUUCCAGA